rnacentral:rRNA from 1 species
CCUACGGGUGGCAGCAGUGAGGAAUAUUGGUCAAUGGGCGCGAGCCUGAACCAGCCAAGUAGCGUGAAGGAUGACGGCCCUACGGGUUGGAAACUUCUUGUAUAAAGGAAUAAAGUGAGGCACGUGGGCCGUUUUGUAUGUACUUUAUGAAUAAGGAUCGGCUAACUCCGUGCCAGCAGCCGCGGUAAUACGGAGGAUCCGAGCGUUCUCCUGAUUUAUUGGGGUGAAAGGGAGCGUAGAUGGGUUGUUCAGUCAGUGGUGAAAGUUUGCGGCUCAACCGUAAAAUUUCACUUGAUACUGGCAGUCUUGAGUACAGUUGAGGUCGGCGGAAUUCGUGGUGUAGCGG